rnacentral:rRNA from 1 species
AAAGGUGGGCUAAUACCGAAUGUGUUCCAAGAAGGUGCGCCUUUUGGAGGAAAGUGGGGUAACCCACGCCCGAGGAUCGGUCCGCGUUCCAUCAGCUAGUUGGUAGGGUAAUGGCCUACCAAGGCUACGACGGAUAGCUGGUCUGAGAGGAUGAUCAGCCACACUGGGACUGAGACACGGCCCAGACUCCUACGGGAGGCAGCAGUGGGGAAUAUUGGUCAAUGGGCGAAAGCCUGAACCAGCAAUGCCGCGUGAGUGAUGAAGGCCUUCGGGUUGUAAAGCUCUGUCAGUGGGAACGAAUAAGCCGGUUAAUACCCGGUGGUGACGGUACCCACAAAGGAAGCACCGGCUAACUCUGUGCCAGCAGCCGCGGUAA